AGUAAUGACGUGUUCUUGGAAUGGAGACUUGAGGGAUGACUCAAAGUCUCAAACUAGGCUGGAGGAUGGUACGCCGAAAUUGGGGGUCGUCGUCACCGAACUUCGAUUCAGUGCUGACUGCUGAGCGAGCAAGACUCGCCGUUGCCAAACUCCCGAUCCAACCGCUGAGCAGAGCAGAGAAGAUCGGCAGGUCAGGUCUAGUCGCCCAGGUUUGGGGUCGUCGUAGGUUGACUUGUGUCUCAGCUGAAAGCCAGAGAUCGACAGAACAGUGAGUAGACUGGUUGAGUGGAGACUGAGAGAGAGGGAUUUACGGCUUUACUUCUCUAAUCUCUCAAAACAACCCUCUAAAUUGAAUAAAUU
rnacentral:lncRNA from 1 species